AACCUACGGGGGGCAGCAGCAGGGAAUCUUCCACAAUGGACGAAAGUCUGAUGGAGCAACGCCGCGUGAGUGAAGAAGGGUUUCGGCUCGUAAAGCUCUGUUGGUAGUGAAGAAAGAUAGAGGUAGUAACUGGCCUUUAUUUGACGGUAAUUACUUAGAAAGUCACGGCUAACUACGUGCCAGCAGCCGCGGUAAUACGGAGGGUGCAAGCGUUGUCCGGAUUUAUUGGGCGUAAAGCGAGCGCAGGCGGUUUU
rnacentral:rRNA from 1 species